rnacentral:rRNA from 1 species
CGGACUGCAGCCUGCAACUCGGCUGCACGAAGCCGGAAUCGCUAGUAAUCGCAGAUCAGCAUGCUGCGGUGAAUACGUUCCCGGGUCUUGUACACACCGCCCGUCACACCUUGGGAGUCGGAAAUGCCCGAAGUCUGUGACCCAACCGCAAGGAGGGAGCAGCCGAAGGCAGGUCGGAUGACUGGGGUGAAGUCGUAACAAGGUAAC